GAGCUUAGCUAUACUGUUAAUAAGUAGAGUCAGUUCUGAAUUGCAGUUAUGUCCUAAGCUUUAAAGCAUAAGCUACCACUGUGCUUUUAUUUUCUUUUUGAGACAGUUUUUUUGUAGCUCUGACUAUCCUGGAACUCACUCUGUGUACCAGGCUGGCUUCAAAAUUAGAGAUCCACCUGCCUCUGCCUCCCAAGUGCUGGGAUUAACAAUGUACGCCACCACACCCAGCUUGUCACUUUGCUUUUAUAUCUAAAUGUAUACUGUAGGAUUUGAGAGGUAGAAAGUUUCAGGCAGGAAGGGUUAGGCCUGGGUGUAUGGAGGUAGUACGAAUACUCAGCUUGUUAACCCAGAUAUGAAAAACACAAUAAUAAUUGAUGACUAGACAGUAUGGUACUUUGUGUCCCAGUUUCCUUUUGUUAAGGAGCUAUAAUACAGGAUAAAUCAGAAAAUUCUUUUCAAGGGGCUGGCAAGAUGGUUCAGGUAAAGUGCUUGCUGUGCAGGCCUGACCAUCUGAUUUGAGCCCCAGAACCCAGAUGAACGUGGAAGGAGCAAAUUAACUCCACAGAGCUGUACUCUGACCUCCACACUCAGCCACACUCGUUCCCUGGCACACACAAUGUGUCUGUUUACAUUAGUUCUAUGUAUGUUCCACAUAUCAUACACACAAAAAUAAUAAAGAAAAUUUUGUGCCAGGUGUUGGGGGCGGGGUCAUGCCUUCAAUUCCAGUACUUGAGAGGCAGAGGCAGGUAGAUCUCAGAGUUUGAGAGGCUAGCCAGUUUACAGAGUUUCAGGACAGCCAGGGGCUACACAGAGAAACCUUGUUUUGAACCACCAGAAAGAAGAAAAGAAAGAGAGGAAAGAAAGAAAGAGAAUUUGUGGGUUUUUUUUUUUUUUCUCAUUGAGACUAACCUAAUUUAAAUGACUGUAUGUGGAAUAUUUCAUAUUUGAGUAUUAAGUUGUAUAGUAAGCAUAGGAACUGAUACAGAUUCUUUUAACUGCAAAUCUGUGUUUACUUAAAUCAAAAUUAGAGUUGAAACUGGCCAUAGUCGUACACGAUAGCAUUUGAGAGGCUGAGGCAGGAGGAUUAUCAUGAUUUAGAAGCAAAUCUAGACUGCCUAGUGUGUUCAAGGUGAUCCAGGGCCACAUUGUGAGUCUGUUUUCAAAGG
rnacentral:lncRNA from 1 species